GCAAGUCGAGCGCGCCUUCGGGCGAGCGGCGGACGGGUUAGUAACGCGUGGGAACGUGCCCAGAUCUACGGAAUAGCCACUGGAAACGGUGAGUAAUACCGUAUACGCCCUUCGGGGGAAAGAUUUAUCGGAUUUGGAUCGGCCCGCGUUAGAUUAGGUAGUUGGUGGGGUAACGGCCUACCAAGCCUACGAUCUAUAGCUGGUUUUAGAGGAUGAUCAGCAACACUGGGACUGAGACACGGCCCAGACUCCUACGGGAGGCAGCAGUGGGGAAUCUUGGACAAUGGGGGCAACCCUGAUCCAGCCAUGCCGCGUGAGUGAAGAAGGCCCUAGGGUCGUAAAACUCUUUCGCCUGUGAUGAUAAUGACAGUAGCAGGUAAAGAAACCCCGGUUAACUCCGUGCCAGCAGCCGCGGUAAUACGGAGGGGGUUAGCGUUGUUCGGAAUUACUGGGCGUAAAGCGCACGUAGGCGGAUUAGAAAGUUAGAGGUGAAAUCCCGGGGCUCAACCCCGGAACUGCCUUUAAAACUACUAGUCUAGAGUUCGAGAGAGGUGAGUGGAAUUCCGAGUGUAGAGGUGAAAUUCGUAGAUAUUCGGAGGAACACCAGUGGCGAAGGCGGCUCACUGGCUCGGUACUGACGCUGAGGUGCGAAAGUGUGGGGAGCAAACAGGAUUAGAUACCCUGGUAGUCCACACCGUAAACGAUGAAUGCCAGUCGUCGGGUAGUAUACUAUUCGGUGACACACCUAACGGAUUAAGCAUUCCGCCUGGGGAGUACGGUCGCAAGAUUAAAACUCAAAGGAAUUGACGGGGGGCCCGCACAAGCG
rnacentral:rRNA from 1 species